rnacentral:rRNA from 1 species
CAUGUAGGGGGCAAGCGUUGUCCGGAUUUAUUGGGCGUAAAGAGCUCGUAGGCGGCUUAGUAAGUCGGGUGUGAAACCUCCAGGCUCAACCUGGAGACGCCACCCGAUACUGCUGUGGCUAGAGUCCGGUAGGGGAGCGUGGAAUUCCUGGUGUAGCGGUGAAAUGCGCAGAUAUCAGGAGGAACACCAGCGGCGAAGGCGGCGCUCUGGGCCGGUACUGACGCUGAGGAGCGAAAGCGUGGGGAGCAAACAGG